GGGGAAUAUUGCACAAUGGGCGCAAGCCUGAUGCAGCGACGCCGCGUGGGGGAUGACGGCCUUCGGGUUGUAAACUCCUUUCGCCAAAGACGAAUUUGGACGGUAUUUGGAGAAGAAGCACCGGCUAACUACGUGCCAGCAGCCGCGGUAAUACGUAGGGUGCGAGCGUUGUCCGGAAUUACUGGGCGUAAGGAGCUCGUAGGUGGUUUGUCGCGUCGUUUGUGGAAUACCGCAGCUUAACUGUGGGGUUGCAAGCGAUACGGGCAUAACUUGAGUGCUGUAGGGGAGACUGGAAUUCCUGGUGUAGCGGUGAAAUGCGCAGAUAUCAGGAGGAACACCGAUGGCGAAGGCAGGUCUCUGGGCAGUAACUGACGCUGAGGAGCGAAAGCAUGGGGAGCGAACA
rnacentral:rRNA from 1 species